GAGAAAUUCGAAUUUUCGGCGAAUGUCGUCUUCACAGUAUAACCAGAUUGCUUGGGGUUAUAUGGUCAAGUGAAGAAGCGCAUACGGUGGAUGCCUUGGCAGUCAGAGGCGAUGAAAGACGUGGUAGCCUGCGAAAAGCUUCGGGGAGUCGGCAAACAGACUUUGAUCCGGAGAUGUCUGAAUGGGGGAACCCACCUAACAUAAGUUAGGUAUCUUAAGCUGAAUACAUAGGCUUAAGAAGCGAACCAGGGGAACUGAAACAUCUAAGUACCCUGAGGAAAAGAAAUCAACCGAGAUUCCCUUAGUAGUGGCGAGCGAACGGGGACUAGCCCUUAAGUGGCUUUGAGAUUAGCGGAACGCUCUGGAAAGUGCGGCCAUAGUGGGUGAUAGCCCUGUACGCGAAAAUCUCUUGGUCAUGAAAUCGAGUAGGACGGAGCACGAGAAACUUUGUCUGAAUAUGGGGGGACCAUCCUCCAAGGCUAAAUACUACUGACUGACCGAUAGUGAACUAGUACCGUGAGGGAAAGGCGAAAAGAACCCCGGAGAGGGGAGUGAAAUAGAUCCUGAAACCGUAUGCGUACAAGCAGUGGGAGCCCACUUUGUUGGGUGACUGCGUACCUUUUGUAUAAUGGGUCAGCGACUUAUUUUCAGUGGCGAGCUUAACCGAAUAGGGGAGGCGUAGCGAAAGCGAGUCUUAAUAGGGCGUCUAGUCGCUGGGAAUAGACCCGAAACCGGGCGAUCUAUCCAUGGGCAGGUUGAAGGUUGGGUAACACUAACUGGAGGACCGAACCGACUACCGUUGAAAAGUUAGCGGAUGACCUGUGGAUCGGAGUGAAAGGCUAAUCAAGCUCGGAGAUAGCUGGUUCUCCUCGAAAGCUAUUUAGGUAGCGCCUCAUGUAUCACUGUAGGGGGUAGAGCACUGUUUCGGCUAGGGGGUCAUCCCGACUUACCAAACCGAUGCAAACUCCGAAUACCUACAAGUGCCGAGCAUGGGAGACACACGGCGGGUGCUAACGUCCGUCGUGAAAAGGGAAACAACCCAGACCGUCAGCUAAGGUCCCAAAGUUAUGGUUAAGUGGGAAACGAUGUGGGAAGGCUUAGACAGCUAGGAGGUUGGCUUAGAAGCAGCCACCCUUUAAAGAAAGCGUAAUAGCUCACUAGUCGAGUCGGCCUGCGCGGAAGAUGUAACGGGGCUCAAACCAUACACCGAAGCUACGGGUAUCACUUAGGUGAUGCGGUAGAGGAGCGUUCUGUAAGCCUGUGAAGGUGAGUUGAGAAGCUUGCUGGAGGUAUCAGAAGUGCGAAUGCUGACAUGAGUAACGACAAUGGGUGUGAAAAACACCCACGCCGAAAGACCAAGGUUUCCUGCGCAACGUUAAUCGACGCAGGGUUAGUCGGUCCCUAAGGCGAGGCUGAAAAGCGUAGUCGAUGGAAAACAGGUUAAUAUUCCUGUACUUCUGGUUAUUGCGAUGGAGGGACGGAGAAGGCUAGGCCAGCUUGGCGUUGGUUGUCCAAGUUUAAGGUGGUAGGCUGGAAUCUUAGGUAAAUCCGGGAUUCUAAGGCCGAGAGCUGAUGACGAGUUAC
rnacentral:rRNA from 1 species